UACGUAGGGAGCAAGCGUUGUCCGGAAUCAUUGGGCGUAAAGCGCGCGUAGGUGGCCCGAUAAGUCCGCUCUGAAAGUCACAGGCUCAACCUGUGAAAGCGCGUGGAUACUGUCGGGCUAGAGUCCGGAAGAGGCGAGUGGAAUUCCUGGUGUAGCGGUGGAAUGCGCAGAUAUCAGGAGGAACACCAACGGCGAAGGCAGCUCGCUGGGACGGUACUGACACUGAGGCGCGAAAGCGUGGGGAGCGAACAGGAUUAGAUCCGUCCGUGACUCAGAUCCCAAGUACCAACGUCGCUGACCGUAACGUAC
rnacentral:rRNA from 1 species